AGGCCUAUCAGUAUCCUGAGUAGGGCGGGACACGUGAAAUCCCGUUUGAAUCCGCGAGGACCAUCUCGCAAGGCUAAAUACUAACCAGUGACCGAUAGUGAACCAGUACCGUGAGGGAAAGGUGAAAAGAACCCCGGGAGGGGAGUGAAAGAGAACCUGAAACCGUGUGCCUACAAGUAGUCAGAGCCCGUUAACGGGUAAUGGCGUGC
rnacentral:rRNA from 1 species